CGCCAAACCGCUCUAUUCGCGAAAGAAUAGCAGAUCCGUUUUUGUUUUCUAUAAGCUCGUCAUUAAUUACGUGAUCUACAAUUAGAAUUAUUUAAAUAUCUGCUUUAUUUUAAUCGGCUUAAACAACCGACAGGCAAUUCGGCGCCGACGCCGGUCAUGAGCCGUCCAUACUCGCCAUUUUGUCAUUUUGCAAACUAAGAAAAUGCAAACAAAACAUUAUUUGCCCUAAACACGCGUUACUCUCAAAUAAUAUUGCCGAAUGCCGACAAAGUGAUCUUGUUUUAUCAAACUGAACUCCGAACUGCAAUUGCAAUGUAAUUUUCCGAUAGCGAAAGUGAGGUUAUGAAAUUGACAUGACAUUUAGUGAAUGCAAUGCAAUGGACAUGUGUUUUGUUGUUUUUCUCAUCAAGAUAAUAGAAGAAUCUAGUGCUCAUACUCAUGAUCUAAUGAGCAAACAGCCCAUGCAAAGGAUGUCUUAACGGGCCAUGUCUCCACUGAUUAAGUUACCUACUUCAACGCAGCUUUUCAAGAAAGUUUCAACAUCUAAUUGGAAUUUCUCUGGAAAGUUUACAAUGUCCGAUAUUUCUACACAUCUGCCACAAAUUUAUGGAAAUCAAUAUUUAUAGAAACUGAACAUACCUUGGUUAAACGUAUAUGAAAUGGAUUAUCAUCAUUGAAGAACAUCAACCAGCUGUCGGCAACAUGCAGGUUGACUGAGGAAUUUUCCGGUGUGUCUUUUUAUGGACUGUACUUCGUCUUAGCACUAUCCUCAAGU